UGCAAGUCGACGGUAGCAGCAGAGCUUGCUCUGGCUGACGAGUGGCGGACGGGUGCGUAACGCGUGGGAAUCUACCUUUUAGUGGGGGAUAGCCCGGAGAAAUCCGGAUUAAUACCGCAUAAUCUCUACGGAGCAAAGUGGGGGAUCUUCGGACCUCACGCUAUUAGAUGAGCCCGCGUUAGAUUAGCUUGUUGGUGGGGUAAUGGCUCACCAAGGCUAUGAUCUAUAGCUGGUUUGAGAGGAUGAUCAGCCACACUGGGACUGAGACACGGCCCAGACUCCUACGGGAGGCAGCAGUGGGGAAUAUUGGACAAUGGGCGCAAGCCUGAUCCAGCAGCCGCGGUAAUACG
rnacentral:rRNA from 1 species